AUGCCCUCCCCCACCUUAUUCAUUAGUUUACAUUCUGGGAGAUAAUAAUUGGAGCUAGCUGCCACUUCCAACAGGAAAGUAAAGAGCAAGACCCACCACCAUGCCCCAGACCCUUUCGUAUGAUCUCAUUGAAUCCUCACAAAAGGUGGUGGGGGGGGAAAAAUAAAAUAAAGUAAAAAGGUGGUGGUACAAUGAUUCCCAUUUAGAGACAGGAGGCCCAAGGGUCUGAGAAGUUCAGUAAGCUGCUCUGGUCUCAGAACUUCCAAGUCAAACUUCAAUGCAAAAGUCACCUGGAAGGCUUGUUCAGACAGCCUAGCUGGGCUACACUCCCACUUGCCAAGUCAGUGGGUCUAGGUGGAGACUGAGAAUUUUUUCUAACACGUCCUCAGAUGAUGGCAGUGAUGCUGGCCCAGGGACCAACUUUUGAGAAUCACUUUUUAUUGCCUGAGCAGCAAUAUAGAUCCGGCAUUCAAACCAGGUGGGCAGUCUUCUACACGUCCUUGCCUAUAGCCUUUCCUACCCAUGCCAACAUCAACCUGCAGGCAGCGCAGCCCUUGUGUCCUUCCUCUGCUGGAAAACCUCCUGGGGCUCUGCUGCAGCCCAUCACUCCUCACAUUACUAUCUCUGUACAGAGCUCGCUUCCAUCUGCACUGUCUUAUCUUCUAGUCUCCAGAAGAAUAAACACAUGAUGGAACUAAGUGACUUCAACAGGAAGCCUAACCUUCCCUCUCUGAGUUCUAUUUUUGUUUUACUCCCCAGGCAUUGAGAACAGUUCUCCAUUAUAACACUGAUCACUCCUUCAAAAUUUUGCUUCUUGCCCAGCCAGCAUGGCUCAGUGGUUGAACAUCAACCUAUGAACCAGAGGUCACGAUUUGAUUCCUGGUCAGAGCAUGUGCCUAGAUUUUGGACUGAUCCCCGGUGAGUGGUGUGCAGGCCAAUCAAUGAUUCUCUCUCAUCACUGAUGUUUCUAUCUCUCUCUCCCUCUCUGAAAUCAAUUAAAAAA